ACGAACGCUGGCGGCAUGCCUAACACAUGCCAGUCGAACGAGACCUUCGGGUCUAGUGGCGCACGGGUGCGUAACGCGUGGGAACCUGCCCUUAGGUUCGGAAUAACUCCCCGAAAGGGGUGCUAAUACCGGAUAAUGUCUUCGGACCAAAGAUUUAUCGCCUUUGGAUGGGCCCGCGUUGGAUUAGCUAGUUGGUAGGGUAAAAGCCUACCAAGGCGACGAUCCAUAGCUGGUCUGAGAGGAUGAUCAGCCACACUGGGACUGAGACACGGCCCAGACUCCUACGGGAGGCAGCAGUGGGGAAUAUUGGACAAUGGGCGAAAGCCUGAUCCAGCAAUGCCGCGUGAGUGAUGAAGGCCUUAGGGUUGUAAAGCCCUUUUACCCGGGAUGAUAAUGACAGUACCGGGAGAAUAAGCUCCGGCUAACUCCGUG
rnacentral:rRNA from 1 species